GUAACACGUAGUCAACAUGCCCAGGGGACGUGGAUAACCUCGGGAAACUGAGGAUAAACCGCGAUAGGUCACUACUUCUGGAAUGGGUAAUGACUCAAACCUAUAUGGCCCCUGGAUUGGACUGCGGCCGAUCAGGCUGUUGGUGAGGUAAUGGCCCACCAAACCUGUAACCGGUACGGGCUCUGAGAGGGGGAGCCCGGAGAUGGGCACUGAGACAAGGGCCCAGGCCCUAUGGGGCGCAGCAGGCGCGAAACCUCUGCAAUAGGCAAAAGCCUGACAGGGUUACUCUGAGUGAUCUCCGUUAAGGAGAUCUUUUGGCACCUCUAAAAAUGGUGCAGAAUAAGGGGUGGGCAAGUCUGGUGUCAGCCGCCGCGGUAAUACCAGCACCCCGAGUGGUCGGGACGUUUAUUGGGCCUAAAGCAUCCGAAGCCGGUUCUACAAGUCUUCCGUUAAAUCCAGCUGCUUAACAGAUGGGCUGCGGAAGAUACUAUGGAGCU
rnacentral:rRNA from 1 species